CACAUUGAAACAUUGGUUCCCGUACGAUCAUCGAAGUUAAGCAACGUCGAGCCUGGUCAGUACCUAGAUGGUGACCAUUUAGGAAUACGUGGUGCUGUAC